AGAGUUUGAUCAUCGGCUACAGAACGAACGCUGGCGGCAUGCCUAACACAUGCAAGUCGAACGAAGCCUUCGGGCUUAGUGGCGCACGGGUGCGUAACGCGUGGGAAUCUGCCCUUGGGUUCGGAAUAACAGUUAGAAAUGACUGCUAAUACCGAAUGAUGUCUUCGGACCAAAGAUUUAUCGCCCAAGGAUGAGCCCGCGUCGGAUUAGCUAGUUGGUGAGGUAAAGGCUCACCAAGGCGACGAUCCGUAGCUGGUCUGAGAGGAUGAUCAGCCACACUGGGACUGAGACACGGCCCAGACUCCUACGGGAGGCAGCAGUGGGGAAUAUUGGACAAUGGGCGAAAGCCUGAUCCAGCAAUGCCGCGUGAGUGAUGAAGGCCUUAGGGUUGUAAAGCUCUUUUACCCGAGAUGAUAAUGACAGUAUCGGGAGAAUAAGCUCCGGCUAACUCCGUG
rnacentral:rRNA from 1 species